CCCACCUCUCCUGGAGGCCCCUGCUGGCCCUGUUACAGGAAAGACAGAAAAAGUUAACAGCCCCUCAAAACAACAGGCCGUAACUGGUGAAAGUAUGCUUCUUUGAGCCCUCGUGCCUCACACUGGCACUGUGAAAUUUUUAAGGACCAAGCAGGCGUGAGGAAACAAGGAGACAUGCUGUUGAGAAGCCCUGCAAGCCAAGUGCAAGGACAGCACAUGCUGGAGAUGCCACCUCCGUCCCCAGUGUCACACCGUCAGCCUGUUGGAGAUCACGUCUGCACAAGAUGGCAUGCACCACUAAGAUAGGAGGGCUGAGCUACGUACACCAACAGUGACUACUUGCUACACUGCAACACAUUUUAUCUGUUGCACUCUAAAGCAAAGCUGUAUUUCACUCCUUUUGUGUACAUCUUUCACCUAUUGUUUUUAACUGCUUGCACUUUGGUUCUGUAUAGAAUAUAAGCACUGGCUGACCUGUAUGUGAACAAAAUGCUUAAUAUCUUUUUCAUUUCAGUUAAAUUAUCUUAAUAAUAAUCACUGACAUAAGCUCUGUGGCUUAAUAAUGUCUUCCUCAUUUUAAGUAGCAAGGAACAAUAAAACUUUCUCUAUUUCUAUGACA